AGAUUUAUCCUCGUACCUUUUGCAUCAUGAUUUAGCUAGAACCGUCCAAGCAAAGAGCACUUUAGUUUGGAACCCCGAAACUACGUGAGCUACUCCAAGACAGCCUAUUUAUAGGGCGAACCCGUCUCUGUGGCAAAAGAGUGGGAAGAACUUCGAGUAGGGGUGACAGACCUAUCGAACCUAGUUAUAGCUGGUUGCCUGAGAAAUGAAUAGAAGUUCAGCCUCCUAGCUUCUACCUUCACCCCAAUACAACCAAUUGAUAUUAAAGAAGCUAAGAGAGUUAGUCAAAGGGGGUACAGCCCCUUUGAAACAAGAUACAACUUUCCCAGGAGGGUGUGGAUCAUAAUUAUUAAGGUAAAAUGUUAUGGUGGGCUUAAAAGCAGCCACCCUGAUAGAAAGCGUUAAAGCUCGAACAUUAACCUUCUCCCAUGUAUUUAGAUAACAAAAUCCCAACCCCCUAAUAUUAUCAGGCUACCUCAUGCAAACAUGAGAGUAUUAAUGCUAAUAUGAGUAAUAAGAGAGGCAUGCCUCUCUCCUUGCACACAUGUACA
rnacentral:rRNA from 1 species